rnacentral:lncRNA from 1 species
AUUUAUUUCAUUUAUUCACCAGAUAGUUUUAGUACUGUUUUAGGUAUUGGGGAUAUACCAAGGAAUAAAACAAGAUUCCUGGAGGGAGAGGGGAACGGACAGCAAACAAUAGACACAAUACGAUCGUGAGGUAUAUAGUUAAUGUUGGUGAUGAGUGCUCCUCAAAGGAAACAACUAAAACCAGACAAGGGAAGUCGGGGUGUCAGGGAGAAUGGUUUGUAGUAUUGAUGACAAUGGUUAAGGAAGGCCUGAGUUCUGCAAAGACCUCAAGGAUAUGAGGGACUAGAGUGCCCUCUGCUGUGGAAGAGCCUGCGCAAAGAUCCUGAGGUGGGAGGGGUCAGGGAGCCAACUCAUUUUACGGUAAGUGGAGGUGGGAUCCAGGGGAGGAUUCUGAGCAGAGGAGGGACGUGGCCCAAUUUGGGCUUUGAAAGGAUCCUGCUUGUCUGUGUGCCAGCAUCCUGGUGGUGGUUGGGGGAGUCUGCAUCAAUCCUGGGUGCUGUUACCUGAAAAAAUAGCAGGUGUUAGACGAAAGAACAGAUGUCUGGCCCAUUGUCUCCAGUCUGUUCCUGUCCACAGCUUCCCUUUAUGCUGAGCCCCUGCCACAUGCAUCAUCAUCCUGGCCAUGUGGCAUUGUCACAGACCGUCUCUCCUGCUAGCCUCCUAACUCAGGGCCUGGGUCUUCCCCAGCAUUAAGUAAAUCAGUCUCAGGCAGACAGCCCUUUAUAGGUGUUUGGGCCAGGUGCGGUGGCUCACGCCUGUAAUCCCAGCUCUUUGUGGGGCCGAGGUCUUUGAGCUCAGGAGUUCAAGACCAGCCUGGGCAGCAUGACAAAACCCUGUCUCUACCAAAAAUACAAAAAUUAGCCACGCAUGGUGGCACACACCUGUGGUCCCAGCUACUCGGGAGGCUGAGGUGGGAGGAUCGCUGGAGCCUGGGAAGUUGAGGCUGCAGUGAGCCGUGAUCAUGCCACUGCAUUCCAGCCUGUGUGAUGGAGAGAGACCCUGUCUCAA